UUAAAAACCUGAUAUUAAAUUUUGGAGUAAAUUAAACACCCAUAAACUGUCUGUCAUCAUGUAAUUAAUUGAUUCUAAAUCCUCAUCAAGUGAUCACUCAGUUCCAUACACUGGGUUGAUUUCCAUUGAUUUCCAUUUAUUUUCCUUUGAUUUCCAUUGAUUUUCAACUUAUUUAUAUCAUCUUUAAUUCAUCUAUCUCCAUGGAAUAAACGAAUCCAACCCCGUACCGACUUGUUAAUCUUAAUUUCAACAAGAACCGGUUACAAAAAUGGCGCCCAACGGAAAUUGGAGAUAAUUAAACCUGGUGGUUCUGCCCGCGCGCUCCAGAAGUGCACUGACUUGGCUAUUCCAUCUUUACACUUCGUAUUCGGCGCCUUGUGACGUCACAGGAAGUUCAUCCUAGGAAUUGCGCAAGACCCGUAUACUUGUGAAUAUUUGUGUUUGUGUUGUGCUUGUGACAUUAUAUGUGUGAAAUUGUGUUGUGUUUGUGUAUUUGGAUAAUUCACUACCAUGCAUGGUCCGGUAAGACAGUUUUAAUGUUUAUUUCUCAUGUUCUGUGAAUGUAAACACUAUAUUUAGAUUUGGCCUCAUUUUCUUGAUCACGUGAUCGGUAUCAGCUGUUCCAUUUUGUACAGUAGGUCAUCUCAUUUUGAUUAGUUUAUCUUUUGUGAAUUUAUAUUUUUGCGUCAUUUCAGUGUUUAAAUAUAUUCAGAGUCAGUGAGAAAGACAUUUGAGAGUGCUUAAAACUUAAAAGUUUUCUAAAUAACGCUUUGAAAGCACAUCCGGAAAUAUCCGGAAGGUAUUUUCUAAAUUAAACUAAACCAAUUCCUUUGUCCUUGACAUUCAGAUAACAACAUCCGGUAAACAAAAACCACGUUUUAGCAAAAGAAUUUGUUGGUGAAUUUUCAGCUGGUAUUCAUAAAUAAGAGUUCCUGUCUUGUAUUUGGUUUGUUUAUUCAUUUCUUGGAAGCAGUCUGACCAUCUUGCAUCUGGUUUGAAGUUGA